CUACGGGUGGCAGCAGUGAGGAAUAUUGCACAAUGGGGGGAACCCUGAUGCAGCAACGCCGCGUGGAGGAUGACGCAUUUCGGUGUGUAAACUCCUUUUAUAUGUCAAGAAAAUGACGGUAGCAUAUGAAUAAGCACCCGCUAACUCCGUGCCAGCAGCCGCGGUAAUACGGAGGGUGCAAGCGUUAGUCGGAAUCACUGGGCGUAAAGGACGCGUAGGCGGGUUGGAAAGUCAGGUGUGAAAUCCUACAGCUUAACUGUAGAACUGCACUUGAAACUUCUAAUCUAGAGUAUGGGAGGGGGAGAUGGAAUUAGUGGUGUAGGGGUAAAAUCCGUAGAUAUCACUAGGAAUACCUAAAGCGAAGGCGAUCUCCUGGAACAUUACUGACGCUAAGGCGUGAAAGCGUGGGGAGCAAACAGGAUUAGAUACCCUUGUAGUC
rnacentral:rRNA from 1 species